AUUGAACGCUGGCGGCAGGCCUAACACAUGCAAGUCGAGCGGAAGAAGGGAGCUUGCUCGUGGAUUCAGCGGGGGAGGGGCGAGUGAGGCCUAGGAAUAUGGCUGUCUGUGGGGGCUAAGGUGCGGAAACGGGCGAUAAUACGGCAUAAGCCCAGAGGGCGUACGGGGGGGAUCAUCGGACCUUACGCUAUUAGGUGAGUCUAUGUCGGAUUAGCUAGUUGGCGGGGUAAAGGCCUACCAAGGCGACGAUCCGUAACUGGUCUGAGAGGAUGAUCAGUCACACUGGAACUGAGACACGGUCCAGACUCCUACGGGAGGCAGCAGUGGGGAAUAUUGGACAAUGGGCGAAAGCCUGAUCCAGCCAUGCCGCGUGUGUGAAGAAGGUCUUCGGAUUGUAAAGCACUUUUAGUUGGGAAGAAGAGCAGUAAGUUAAUACCUUGCUGUUUUGACGUUACCAACAGAAUAAGCACCGGCUAACUUCGUG
rnacentral:rRNA from 1 species